CCCUUAGAUGUUCUGGGCCGCACGCGUGCUACACUGAGUAAUUCAAUGGGUAAGGGAACGCUAGAGCAUUACCUAAUCUUGAAAUUUGCUCGUGAUGGGGAUCGACGGUUGCAAUUUUCCGUCGUGAACGAGGAAUACCUUGUAGGCGCAUGUCAUCAUCAUGCGCCGAAUACGUCCCUGCCCUUUGUACACACCGCCCGUCGCUCCUACCGAUUGAGUGAUCCGGUGAGGCUCUGGGACCUGGACGGAAAGAGCGUUUCGCUUGUUCUGUUUGGGAAACUUGGUCAAACCUUAUCAUUUAGAGGAAGGAGAAGUCGUAACA
rnacentral:rRNA from 1 species